rnacentral:tRNA from 1 species
ACCUGGCUGGCUCAGUUGGUACAGCAUGAAACUUUUGAUGUCAGGGUCAUGAGUUCAAGCCCCAUGCUGGGUG